UUCCAGUGCGCCGCAUAGUCUCACCAGAUUGCCANUUAUAGUCCCUGCCCUUUGUACACACCGCCCGACGCUACUACCGAGUUAGAAUGGUCUAGUGAGGGCACCGACUGGCGCCCUUGGAGCGCUACCGCCUGCGCGCAGCGCCCUCGGGCUCGACGGAAAGGUGUCCAAGCUGGGUCAUUUAGAGGAAGUAAAGUCGUACAGGUUCGUAGUGAACCUGCGGAAGGAUCAU
rnacentral:rRNA from 1 species